CAACAGUCUGGCAGCACCAGCAAACAGCUGCAUGUUACUUCAUCGGCGAUUUCGGUGCGAAAGUUGAAAAACACAAUUAAUUCAGUUGAUUUGCAAUGACAUCCCAGUACCUGAGCCAGCUGCACACGGCCGACAAACUGGCCGCCGAGCCAUGGCCGGAAGACGCCACCCUCUACCAGCCCUAUGAAGCGGAACAGAUCCUGCUGCCGGAAAACGCCAGUUGCCUGGCUGUGAAGGCUUACCUGAAGAUGUGCAACCUGCCCUUCGGAAUCCGUUCCUGCGCCAAUGCGGAGCACAUGUCGCCGGGCGGCAGGAUGACCAAGUUGCCUUUCAUCCGAGCAGGAGCAUUUAUUUUUGCUGAGUUCGAGCCGAUUGUGAACUUUGUUGAGCAGAAAGACUUGGCCAUUGGCAACUGGCAGGACGAGGACGAGAAGGCGGACAUGCGCACCUAUGUGUCCCUGGUGGAAAACAUCUUUACCAUGGCUGAGCUGUACAUUAGCUUCAAGAACGAGCGUGUCUACAAGGAGGUCACUGCUCCCAGGAACGGAGUCGUUUUUCCAUGGCCCCUCAAUCACAUGCAGAACUAUGGGAAGCGGAGGAACGCCCUGCGUUUGCUGAAGGUCUAUCAGUGGGACGACCUGGACAUCGACAGCGUCAUCGAGAAGGUGGCCAAGUGCUGUGAGACCCUCGAGUACAAGCUAAAGGAGUCGCCGGAAACGCCCUUCUUCUACGGCGAUCAGCCCUGCGAACUGGACGCCAUCGCCUUUGGACACCUCUUCAGCAUUCUGACCACCACGUUGCCGAAUAUGGCGCUGGCUCAAACGGUGCAGAAGUUCAAGCACUUGGUCGAGUUCUGUCGCUUCGUCGAUGAGAAGUACUUUCAGACCAGGUGCCUGCCAAAUUAGUUAUAUGUAGUCGUCGCAUUAAAUGCUUAUACAUUUAGUUACUCUUCUCUUUUUUUGUGCUGCGCUGCACAACCGCUUAAAUAUGCAAUUAUAAAUGUCCUUAAUACCAAUCGAUGUAAAUCACCAUUAUAUUUCAACUAGUAUUUAAAAGUAGAAAUUGAAUUGAUUUUGCUGUCAUUUAUGUAAAAAAAUCCAUGUGAUUAUAAUUUUGUCGUCUUACUGUUGCACAAGUGACUCAAUCUGCAAGUUUCUUAAAGCGGAGCUAUGCACUUCUAAAAAUUUCUUCAUAUAUUCUUUUCAGCAAAUAACUUUCUGGCUAAUGAAAUUGUAAAUAUAACAAGCGUUUUCCCUUACAGAUAGCUACCAGCUAGACAUACGCAUUAAAAGCUCGCUUAUGUAAAGACCUUAAAUACAUAUAUAUUUUUAUUGAUUUAUUGUUAUAAUUAAUUUAGAUUAUUAUUAUGAAUGCAAUGUAAACAUCUUGCAUGCAGCUGGCCAACCCAAUCGCGCCACUUGUGAUACUUGCUAACGCAAUCAUACAAAACAAUCAGAUGACUCUCGAAAAUAAAAGCUUAACGACAA